rnacentral:misc_RNA from 1 species
UGUAAAUGCAACGUACGUACGUGCAUACGUGUACAUAUGUGACGCGCGGUGGUGGACACACAUGUGUAUACGACGUGGGAGACAUGGUAUAGCUGUACAUAAUGGAAGAUGGAAGAUUGCGGGCGACCUGCGGUGGCACCGGCGGCAGCAGGAAUCUCCCUUCCGCAGUGAUCCGACUAUGGGGUAUUGCUUCAGAAAAAUACUCGAUGCCUCGCACAGCUCCUGCGGUCCGUAAUGGGCCUACGGAACAAUUCGUUUGGGCCCCCCCCCCCCCCCCGUCAGGAUUUCACUGCUUUUGGGACCAACGGAAGUAACCGUCCCGAUGUCCGUACC